AAUGAACGCUGGCGGCGUGCUUAACACAUGCAAGUCGAACGAGAAAGCUUUAGCUUGCUAGAGCGAGUAAAGUGGCGCACGGGUGAGUAACGCGUGGGUAAUCUACCCUUGAAUUUGGGAUAACACUUCGAAAGGGGUGCUAAUACCGGAUAACAUCUUUUUCAUUGCGGUGAGAGAGAUCAAAGAUAGCCUCUUCUUGAAAGCUAUUGUUUGAGGAUGAGCCCGCGUACCAUUAGCUUGUUGGUGGGGUAAUGGCCUACCAAGGCGACGAUGGUUAGCUGGUCUGAGAGGAUGAUCAGCCACACUGGAACUGGAACACGGUCCAGACUCCUACGGGAGGCAGCAGUGAGGAAUUUUGCGCAAUGGGGGAAACCCUGACGCAGCAACGCCGCGUGAGUGAUGAAGGCUUUCGGGUCGUAAAGCUCUGUCAGAUGGGAAGAAUAAGAGCAGGGGAAAUACCCCUGUUUGAUGACUGUACCGUCAGAGGAAGCACCGGCUAACU
rnacentral:rRNA from 1 species